UACCCGGUGGUGUAAUUGGCAACACAGAGGUUUUUGGUACCUCUAUUUCUGGUUCGAGUCCAGACCGGGUAG
rfam:Planctomycetes bacterium GWC2_45_44 gwc2_scaffold_15701, whole genome shotgun sequence.